rnacentral:snoRNA from 1 species
AAACUAUUCAAGAUGAAGCCAAUACGGAUGUAAAAGGAGUUCACCUCCAGAAUCCGAGAGCGCAUAAUCCUCAUGUGGAUUUUUCCGUUGCCUUCCUUCUGAACUU